UAUCACCAAAAUUUCAAAGAAAGGAAAGUGGCAGAUUUUUUUGGUAGGAGAAAGGAAAGUUUCCUUUUGGAAAAAGGGAGAUAGAAUAAAAGAAAAUAUUGGGGGGAAUUUUUAAAAGGGGGGACUUUCAACAUGCAUGGGGAAUGGGAGGAGAAAGAAAAGAUUUUUCAUUGCUUUCGGUGAGAAGACAAAAAACUGGUGUCCAUCGGUCUUUGGGGGUUUUUGGAGAAAUAAAACCUAUCCCGCUUGAAGCUGAGCAAUACUUCUCAAAGAAUCAAAGGUCGAAGCUGUUUCUUAUGUACUCGAGUGUCCAGUGAUAGUGUUCAUCAACUCCAAAAGCAGAGGAUCCAACUAGCGAGGGCAAUAUAUAAUGAUUCAGAUGUGUAUUUUCUAGAUGAUCCCUUUAGUGCAGUAGAUGCACAUACAACUGCAAUUCUUUUCUAUGAAUGCGUCAUGGCUGCCCUUGCUCAUAAAAUCGUCAUUCUAGUGACUCAUCAAGUGGAAUUUCUCUCUGAAGUCAAUAAAAUUCUGGUUGUGGAAGCUGGACAGAUAACUCAAUCAGGAAGCUAUGAGGAGCUCUUGACAUCCGGGACAACAUUUGAGCAGCUUGUAAAUGCAUAUAAGAAUGCAAUAACAAUACUGGAAUUUCCAAAUGAUGUACAAGUAGAACCUCAAAAAUUGAAUCAGAAUCUACUAGAGAAGUCUCAUGGAUUUCUCUCCACCAAAGAAAACAGCGAAUGAGAGAUUUCUAUGAAGGGAUUGCCUGGGGUUCAGCUCACCGAAGAAGAAAAAACAUAGAUUGGUGAUGUUCGGUAGAAGCCACAAUCUUGAAUCAUUAUUGUAUAGGGAAUAGAAUCUUGUUGCUGAUACAUUUUCAAUUUUAACUGUUACAACAGCAUCUGAAGCUAUUAUAUCUUGUGUUCUUAAGUUUAUUGAGAACCUGUUGAACCUUGAUAACGAAUUGGAUGAUGAAGACAUCACUAUCAAAAAGUUUCUACUUCCAAACA